rnacentral:miRNA from 1 species
AGGCAGUGGCUUGGUUAAGGG